rnacentral:rRNA from 1 species
UACGUAGGGUGCAAGCGUUAAUCGGAAUUACUGGGCGUAAAGCGUGCGCAGGCGGUUCGGAAAGAAAGAUGUGAAAUCCCCGGGCUUAACCUGGGAACUGCAUUUGUGACUGGCGGGCUAGAGUAUGGCAGAGGGGGGUAGAAUUCCACGUGUAGCAGUGAAAUGCGUAGAGAUGUGGAGGAAUACCGAUGGCGAAGGCAGCCCCCUGGGCCAAUACUGACGCUCAUGCACGAAAGCGUGGGGAGCAAACAGG